AGAUUAAGCCAUGCAUGUCUAAGUAUAAAUAACUUUAUAUUGUGAAACUGCGAAUGGCUCAUUAAAUCAGUUAUGAUCUACGUGACAAAUUCUUUACUACUUGGAUAACCGUGGUAAUUCUAGAGCUAAUACAUGCAAAAAAGCCCUGACUUACGAAGGGGUGCACUUAUUAGAUAAAACCAACGCGGGGUAAAACCUGUUUCUUGGUGAAUCAUAAUAAUUAAGCGGAUCGCAU
rnacentral:rRNA from 1 species